CCUACGGGCGGCAGCAGUGGGGGAUAUUGCACAAUGGGGGAAACCCUGAUGCAGCGACGCCGCGGGGGUGAAGAAGCGCCUCGGCGCGUAAAGCCCUGUCAGCAGGGAAGAAAAUGACGGUACCUGAAGAAGAAGCCCCGGCUAACUACGUGCCAGCAGCCGCGGUAAUACGUAGGGGGCAAGCGUUAGCCGGAUUUACGGGGUGUAAAGGGGGCGCAGACGGCGAUGCAAGCCAGGAGGGAAAGCCCGGGGCCCCACCCCGGGACUGCUCUUGGAACUGCGUGGCUAGAGUGCAGGAGGGGCAGGUGGAAUUCCUGGUGUAGCGGUGAAAUGCGUAGAUAUCAGGAGGAACACCGGUGGCGAAGGCGGCCUGCUGGACUGCAACUGACGUUGAGGCCCGAAAGCGUGGGGAGCAAACAGGAUUAGAUACCCGAGUAGUC
rnacentral:rRNA from 1 species